GCUUCGCCCAGUGCCAAGCUCGGUUAGCACUUCCUGUGAGUCAGCCGAGAGGGGUCCAGACAGAAGGACCACCCCUUCUCUUUCCACCAAAUCCUCAGCCCAGGAUGCCGCUCUGGUGCCACCUGAGACUCCGGGGGACCGAACCUGAUGUUCUGGUCUGUGUGGGGCGAGGAGUGGCGCACUGGGGUUAGAAAGCAUCAGCCUCAAGCAGAAACCUGGGAACUGCGAUUCUUCCCACCCUAAAGCCCUCCCAGUGGAGGAGGUCCCCUGCAAAGAGCGACACCCCCUUCUCAACCUCCACCUCAGGGAGGAGUCCCGCCCCGGGAAGGAAUGUCAGGUGCAGAGAGGCAUACUUCGUGGGUGACUUCAACUUCGUUACAGGGUGACUUCAACUUCCUUACCAAGUUAAACGAACUAAGGCCGCCUCCUGAGUUAAUUGACUUCUCUCAUUAGAACGAUGUAAUUAAAAAAAAAUCUACACACAUAACAAAAGAAACAGCUCAGACUGAAUUAAUGUAGGUAAAGAGGUAUGAAAAUGACAAUCCUGAGGGCAGUUGCAAAGAUAAAAAAUAUUUUGCUAUCGUU